CUGUGAGCUCGAUGAGUAGGGCGGGACACGUGGUAUCCUGUCUGAAUAUGGGGGGACCAUCCUCCAAGGCUAAAUACUCCUGACUGACCGAUAGUGAACCAGUACCGUGAGGGAAAGGCGAAAAGAACCCCGGCGAGGGGAGUGAAAAAGAACCUGAAACCGUGUACGUACAAGCAGUGGGAGCACGCUUAGGCGUGUGACUGCGUACCUUUUGUAUAAUGGGUCAGCGACUUAUAUUCUGUAGCAAGGUUAACCGAAUAGGGGAGCCGAAGGGAAACCGAGUCUUAACUGGGCGUUAAGUUGCAGGGUAUAGACCCGAAACCCGGUGAUCUAGCCAUGGGCAGGUUGAAGGUUGGGUAACACUAACUGGAGGACCGAACCGACUAAUGUUGAAAAAUUAGCGGAUGACUUGUGGCUGGGGGUGAAAGGCCAAUCAAACCGGGAGAUAGCUGGUUCUCCCCGAAAGCUAUUUAGGUAGCGCCUCGUGAAUUCAUCUCCGGGGGUAGAGCACUGUUUCGGCAAGGGGGUCAUCCCGA
rnacentral:rRNA from 1 species